GGAUUAGAUACCCUGGUAGUCCAUGCUGUAAACGAUGAUUACUAAGCGUCGGGGGUCGAACCUCGGCACUCAAGCUAACGCGAUAAGUAAUCCGCCUGGGGAGUACGUACGCAAGUAUGAAACUCAAAGGAAUUGACGGGGACCCGCACAAGUGGUGGAGCAUGUGGUUUAAUUCGACGCAACGCGAGGAACCUUACCAGCGUUUGACAUCCUAGGAAUGAGAAAGAGAUUUUUCAGUGCUCCUUCGGGAGAACCUAGAGACAGGUGGUGCAUGGCUGUCGUCAGCUCGUGCCG
rnacentral:rRNA from 1 species